CCCUUAGAUGUCCUGGGCUGCACGCGCGCUACACUGAUGUGUCCAGUAAGCACCUAACCUCUUCCGAAAGGUACGGGUAACCUUUGCAAAGCACAUCGUGAUGGGGAUAGAUUAUUGCAAUUAUUAGUCUUGAACGAGGAAUUCCUAGUAAGCACAAGUCAUCAGCUUGUGUUGAUUACGUCCCUGCCCUUUGUACACACCGCCCGUCGCUCCUACCGAUUGAAUGUUCCGGUGAGCUCUUCGGACUGCGCGGUCUGCAGUUUCUGCGUUCCGUGCGGAAAGUUGCGCAAACCUUAACAUUUAGAGGAAGGAGAAGUCGUAACA
rnacentral:rRNA from 1 species